rnacentral:rRNA from 1 species
CGGGGUCGAGUUCGGCUGGAUCGGAGACAGGUGCUGCAUGGCUGUCGUCAGCUCGUGUCGUGAGAUGUUCGGGUUAAGUCCCGCAACGAGCGCAACCCUUGUCCUUAGUUGCCAUCAUUUAGUUGGGCACUCUAAGGAGACUGCCGGUGUUAAACCGGAGGAAGGUGGGGAUGACGUCAAGUCCUCAUGGCCCUUAUAGGUGGGGCUACACACGUCAUACAAUGGCUGGUACAAAGGGUUGCCAACCCGCGAGGGGGAGCCAAUCCCAUAAAGCCAGUCGUAGUCCGGAUCGUAGUCUGCAACUCGACUACGUGAAGUCGGAAUCGCUAGUAAUCGUGGAUCAGAAUGUCACGGUGAAUACGUUCCCGGGUCUU